rnacentral:rRNA from 1 species
GGAGGGCAAGUCUGGUGCCAGCAGCCGCGGUAAUUCCAGCUCCAAUAGCGUAUAUUAAAGUUGUUGUGGUUAAAAAGCUCGUAGUUGAACCUUGGGCCUGGCUGGCCGGUCCGCCUCACCGCGUGUACUGGUCCGGCCGGGCCUUUCCCUCUGUGGAACCCCAUGCCCUUCACUGGGUGUGGCGGGGAAACAGGACUUUUACUUUGAAAAAAUUAGAGUGCUCCAGGCAGGCCUAUGCUCGAAUACAUUAGCAUGGAAUAAUAGAAUAGGACGUGUGGUUCUAUUUUGUUAGUUUCUAGGACCGCCGUAAUGAUUAAUAGGGACAGUCGGGGGCAUCAGUAUUCAAUUGUCAGAGGUGAAAUUCUUGGAUUUAUCGAAGACUAACUACUGCGAAAGCAUUUGCCAAGGAUGUUUUCAUUAAUCAGGAACGAAAGUUAGGGGAUCGAAGACGAUCAGAUACCGUCGUAGUCUUAACCAUAAACUAUGCCGACUAGGGAUCGGACGAUGUUAUUUUUUGACUCGUUCGGCGCCUUACGGGAAAC